AUACGAAAGGUGCAAGCGUUGUUCGGAUUUACUGGGCGUAAAGAGAUCGUAGGUGGUUUGUUAAGUCGGAUGUGAAAUCCCGGGGCUCAACCCCGGAACUGCAUCCGAUACUGGCAGGCUAGAGUUUGGGAGGGGUAAGCGGAAUUCCGUGUGUAGCAGUGAAAUGCGUAGAUAUACGGAGGAACACCUGAGGCGAAGGCGGCUUACUGGACCAAUACUGACACUGAGGAUCGAAAGCGUGGGUAGCAAACAGGAUUAGAAACCCCGGUAGUCC
rnacentral:rRNA from 1 species